GACGUAGGGCGCGAGCGUUGUCCGGAUUUAUUGGGCGUAAAGGGCGCGUAGGCGGCGCAACAAGUCACUUGUGAAAUCUCCGGGCUUAACCCGGAGCGGUCAAGUGAUACUGUCGUGCUAGAGUGCGGAAGGGGCUACUGGAAUUCUCGGUGUAGCGGUGAAAUGCGUAGAUAUUCGGAAGAACACCAGUGGCGAAGGCGGCUCACUGGUCCGGUACUGACGCUGAGGUGCGAAAGCGUGGGGAGCAAACAGGG
rnacentral:rRNA from 1 species